UUCAGAGGGUGCAAGCGUUAAUCGGAAUUACUGGGCGUAAAGCGCGCGUAGGUGGUUCGUUAAGUUGGAUGUGAAAUCCCCGGGCUCAACCUGGGAACUGCAUUCAAAACUGUCGAGCUAGAGUAUGGUAGAGGGUGGUGGAAUUUCCUGUGUAGCGGUGAAAUGCGUAGAUAUAGGAAGGAACACCAGUGGCGAAGGCGGCUCACUGGCCCGGUACUGACGCUGAAAUACGAAAGCGUGGGGAGCAAACAGG
rnacentral:rRNA from 1 species